rnacentral:rRNA from 1 species
UAGGGAAUAUUGGGCAAUGGGCGCAAGCCUGACCCAGCAACGCCGCGUGAGGGAAGAAGGUUUUCGGAUUGUAAACCUCUGUCCUAUGUGACGAAGGAAGUGACGGUAGCAUAGGAGGAAGCCCCGGCUAACUACGUGCCAGCAGCCGCGGUAAUACGUAGGGGGCGAGCGUUGUCCGGAAUUACUGGGCGUAAAGGGUGCGUAGGCGGUUUGGUAAGUUGGAUGUGAAAUACCCGGGCUUAACUUGGGGGCUGCAUCCAAUACUGCUGAACUUGAGUGCAGGAGAGGAAAGCGGAAUUCCUAGUGUAGCGGUGAAAUGCGUAGAUAUUAGGAGGAACACCGGUGGCGAAGGCGGCUUUCUGGACUGUAACUGACGCUGAGGCUCGAAAGCGUGGGGAGCAAACAGG